AAUCAACGCUGGCGGCGUGCCUCAGACAUGCAAGUCGAACGCGAAAGACGCCUUCGGGCGUCGAGUAGAGUGGCGCACGGGUGAGUAACACGUAGGUAAUUUGCCUUUGGGUGGGGAAUAACAACCGGAAACGGUUGCUAAUACCGCAUAAUGCAGCGGCUCCGAGUGGAGACAGUUGUUAAAGCGGGGGAACUUCGGUCCUCGCGCCUGAAGAGAAGCCUGCGGCAGAUUAGCUAGUUGGUGAGGUAAUGGCUCACCAAGGCGACGAUCUGUAACC
rnacentral:rRNA from 1 species